rnacentral:rRNA from 1 species
UACGUAGGUGGCAAGCGUUGUCCGGAUUUACUGGGCGUAAAGAGCGCGCAGGCGGUCGUACAAGUCGCGUGUGAAAGCCCCCGACUCAACUGGGGAGGGUCACGCGAUACUGUUCGACUCGAAGGCAGGAGAGGGAAGCGGAAUUCCCGGUGUAGUGGUGAAAUUCGUAGAUAUCGAGAGGAACACCGGUGGCGAAGGCGGCCUCUGGACCAGUGACGUGAACGCUGAGACGCGAAAGCGUGGGGAAGCAAACAGGG